GAACGCGAAGAACCUUACCCGGGCUUGAAUUGCAGAGGAAGGAUUUAGAGAUAAUGACGCCCUUCGGGGUCUCUGUGAAGGUGCUGCAUGGUUGUCGUCAGCUCGUGCCGUGAGGUGUCGGCUUAAGUGCCAUAACGAGCGCAACCCCUGUCUUUAGUUGCCAUCAGUUUAAGCUGGGCACUCUGGAGAUACUGCCACCGUAAGGUGUGAGGAAGGUGGGGAUGACGUCAAAUCAGCACGGCCCUUACGUCCGGGGCUACACACGUGUUACAAUGGCCGGUACAGAGGGACGGUGUAAUGUAAAUUGCAUCUAAUCUUGAAAGCCGGUCCCAGUUCGGACUGGGGUCUGCAACCCGACCCCACGAAGCUGGAUUCGCUAGUAAUCGCGCAUCAGCCAUGGCGCGGUGAAUACGUUCCCGGGUCUUGUACACACC
rnacentral:rRNA from 1 species